rnacentral:rRNA from 1 species
UACGAAGGGGGCUAGCGUUGUUCGGAAUCACUGGGCGUAAAGCGCACGUAGGCGGAUUGUUAAGUCGGGGGUGAAAUCCUGAGGCUCAACCUCAGAACUGCCUCCGAUACUGGCAAUCUCGAGUCCGGAAGAGGUUGGUGGAACAGCUAGUGUAGAGGUGAAAUUCGUAGAUAUUCGCAAGAACACCAGUGGCGAAGGCGGCUCACUGGCCCGGUACUGACGCUGAGGUGCGAAAGCGUGGGGAGCAAACAGG